AUUGAACGCUGGCGGCAUGCCUUACACAUGCAAGUCGAACGGUAACAGGUCUUCGGAUGCUGACGAGUGGCGAACGGGUGAGUAAUACAUCGGAACGUGCCUAGUAGUGGGGGAUAACUACUCGAAAGAGUGGCUAAUACCGCAUGAGAUCUACGGAUGAAAGCAGGGGAUCGCAAGACCUUGUGCUACUAGAGCGGCCGAUGGCAGAUUAGGUAGUUGGUGGGAUAAAAGCUUACCAAGCCGACGAUUUGUAGCUGGUCUGAGAGGACGACCAGCCGCACUGGGACUGAGACACGGACCAGACUCCUACGGGAGGCAGCAGUGGGGAAUUUUGGACAAUGGACGCAAGUCUGAUCCAGCCAUGCCGCGUGCGGGAAGAAGGCCUUCGGGUUGUAAACCGCUUUUGUCAGGGAAGAAACGCUCUGGGUUAAUACCUCGGGGUAAUGACGGUACCUGAAGAAUAAGCACCGGCUAACUACGUGCCAGCAGCCGCGGUAAAAC
rnacentral:rRNA from 1 species